GCAGGUUUAAGUACUAAGACAUGAGAAGAUAAAACGAGUUUUCAAGAAUACCCAUCAAAUCAUAACAUGGUCACUAAAAUGAUUAUCCAACAGAUGAAAGAAGUCCAAAGGUUAGGCCUGGAUGGGCUUGAUCUUGAAGUGGAGGGAAAUAAGAGAGAACACGAAGCACUUCAAGUCCUGCACGAGGUAGUAGAAGAUCCGAAGCCCCUCGGGAUCCCGGCUACUCUGCACAUCCACCAGCGACCCGAUCUUCGAAGUCGUAAACGAAAUAUGCUCAUUCCCCAUCACGAUCUCCAGCUCCUGCCUCCCGACCCGGUCCGGCUCCGGCCAGUUAGUGUCGUCCUCCUUCAUAAUCUCGGAGUCGGCGAUGAUGCGGCGACACUCGCGGAGGACGGCGGGGGUGAGGAAGACCUCCUUACGGAUCAUUGUGUCGUUCUUGUAGUUGGAAUUGUUGGCGUAGCGGAGCUUGCCGUCGGGGCGGAACUCGAAUUCGAGGAAUUCGUGGCCGAAUUUCCCCUUGUGGCCGACGUAGUAGCGGAGGUAGAACUCGUCUUGCUCGAUCGCCGCCGCCAUUGAUGC
rnacentral:misc_RNA from 1 species